CCAGACUCCUACGGGAGGCAGCAGUGAGGAAUAUUGGUCAAUGGGCUUACGCCUGAACCAGCCAAGUCGCGUGAGGGAAGACUGCCCUAUGGGUUGUAAACCUCUUUUGUCAGGGAGCAAUUGGCGCUACGUGUAGCGUUAUCGAGAGUACCUGAAGAAAAAGCAUCGGCUAACUCCGUGCCAGCAGCCGCGGUAAUACGGAGGAUGCGAGCGUUAUCCGGAUUUAUUGGGUUUAAAGGGUGCGCAGGCGGCGCGGCAGGCCGGGGGGGAAAUCGGGGGGCCCAACCCCGCCCGGCCGGCGGAACUGCCGGGCUAGAGUGGGGGAGAAGUGCGCGGAAUGCGUGGUGUAGCGGUGAAAUGCAUAGAUAUCACGCAGAACUCCGAUUGCGAAGGCAGCAUACCGGCGCCCAACUGACGCUGAAGCACGAAAGCGUGGGUAUCGAACAGGAUUAGAUCCCCGGGUA
rnacentral:rRNA from 1 species